rnacentral:lncRNA from 1 species
AGGGACUGGAGAGAGGGAAGAAUGAGAAGUGACUACUUCAUGGAUACAAGGUUUUCUCUGGGGGUGAUGAAAAUAUUUUGACAUCUGAUAAAGGUGGUGGUAGUACAGCACUGUGAAUGUACCAAUUGCCACUGAAUUGUGCAUUUUAAAGUGAUUGAUUUUAUGUGGAACAAAUUUCACUUUAAUUAUAAAAAGUGAAUAAACUUUUAGAAGCUAACCUUGGAAGAAGGUAGAGACUGGAAGGGAUCACAAGAAAGGCUUCUGGGAUGUUGGAAAACAGAUGGAAUCAUGUUACAGGAGAAUCCAAAGCAGAUGGGACGAAGGAAAAAAGAAGCAGAAUAUGCAAAGGAGACACAAGCAAUUUCAGAGCAGGAGGACAACCUUAGCUCUUUGGGAUGAAAAUGAAGAACAGCUGAGACAGUCACGCCUCUUCUCUUAAAAAUAGCUAAUAAACAUAUGAAACCAUAUCAAAUUUUCAUCAUACUUGGAGAAAUCUAAAGUAAAACUAGAUGCCAUUUAUCACCUCCUAAAUUGUUGACAUUGAAAAAAUAUGUUUAAUAGUGUUAGAGAGAAUUCAUUCAUUCACAGUACUAAUGUAAAUUGGCACACACUUUAGAGAGCUAUUUAAUGAUAUGGAUCUAAAAUGAGUGUUGUGUUCUUUACCUUGGCCAAUUACUUUAAUUGAACAUUAUAAACAGAUUUAAAGAAGUUUGCAAAGAACCAGACAUGAGUUAGUCACUUGUAAAUUUUAUAUAGUAGUAAAAAAUAUAUUUAAAAAUAUUAUUUACCAUAGGGGACUAGUUAAACAAAUGAUGGAGAAUCCAUCUAAUAAGAUCUGUUUCUUGCAUAUCAUUCAAGCUUAAUAAUAGAAUACUGUCAUUUCCAGAUAGCCAUCUUAUUUUAUUUUUGAGAAAUUGUCAUGUUAAAAUUUAUAAUUUCUAACAUGCACAGAUACUAAGCAUUGAAAAAGAGGUAGGAAUAUCGGAACAAUUCUAACGGUUUUUCAUCCCUUGCUCAGAAAUGACAGAAAAUGUUGUGAUAAUAAUAACAAGGCUAAGAACAUAUAUGGAGUUAUGCCAUACUUAUGCCAUCAUUAAUUUAUAUAAUACUUUAACAAUAUUCUGAUGUUGGUACAUGCAUUCUUAACUGUGUCAUAGAGUAAAAAAUGUGGCUAUUUAGUAUAAUAUCAAUUGUGUGUAAAUUGGAUGGAACUGGAUUAAUAGAGAAAUAAAAACAGUUGAAAAUACAAAAAGAAAACCCAAAGUCUUCAUCAUAGACAAGAAAAAUCUCCACUCCAUAUUCAGCAAACAUAAAUGUAAAUGGCAAAGUAAAACAGGAAGUUCUUUAGCAACCUUCGAGAAAGUAAAUAAAAUAAAGAAUACCUGGGGCAGCUGGAAUAUACAAAUAUAUAUAUACACACACAUACACACACACAUACACAUAUACACAUAUAUACAUAUACAUACACAUAUAUAUGUAUAUAUGUGUAUAUAUAUACACACACACAUCUGUAUCUUACAGAUUAAAAUCUUGUGAGCCCCUUACCAGUCAGGUAGAACUCAUGUCCCUGAGAACUUUCCUAACUUUUAUAGCAAUAGGGCUUAAAAUAGGUAAAAAAUAGCUGUGAAAAAGAGUGAGCUUGACAUUCCAUAUAUAGGAAGUUGACUUUAUGACAUUAUUCCCUAUCCAUAGUCAAAUUAUGCAAAGUGUUUAAUCCCAGGCAAAGAACCUGAGUCUUUUUUCUCUGUUUAAAGAAAAGUAAGUUGUCAAAAAAGACUAUGGCAAAUAACUAUGGACGAUUGCACCACAGAGUGAAGCCCUUCUCAUUCUGCCAAAUUAUAGGUCUCUCAUCACUCAGAUAAGACAAAGCUUUUCAUGUCUCAAAACAAGCCUGCAUUUAGAGAGAUUCUGACCAACUCUAUUAUUUAUUUGCUCUAAAACUAAAGUAACAUAAAAUGAAGAAGUUGAAAUGAAUAAUCACAGUAUACUUAACAAAAGCCUGGAAUGUAAAAGAAAAUGAUUGAGGUUAAAAUAUUAGGGGACAGAAAAAGGAAAGUAAGCAAUAAUUUGAAGGAAACGAAGAUGAUUCAGUGCAGAAAAUAAGCUUUAAAACUUUUUAAAAAAUUAAUUGGAACCCAUAAGGUCGAGACAGCUCCAGUGUUCUGUGCUCCUAGGUAAACAAACAAAAACCCAACUUGGAGUAGCUUAACCAAUCAGAAACUUUCAAUUAACAUCUAACUGAAGAAGGCUACUGUUCCACUUUAACCAAUCAAAUAUUUUCUCUGUCUGGCUUUUGAGAACACUUUGUACAAUUUUUCCCCUUGUGCACUUUCAGGGGAGCCCUGACCCACUUGUGCUCUAGUGCUGCCCAGUUUGUGAAUUGACGUUAUGCUCAAAGAAACUCUUUAAGAUUUUAAUGUGCCUAAGUUUAUGUUUUAACAAGACAAUGAAACAAGAAAAACAAAAUAUUAAGUACAAUAUUCUAUAAAAGUAAAAAAAGCCUUAUUUAAACAACAACAAAUAAAAUAUUGAAAAGGAAUAAGUAUAGCACAAGAAAUAAUUGUUUAAACAAUAUAAUUGAAGAUAAUAUACAAAUAAAUGGAAUAUCACCUAGAUGUCAACUAUUUAUCUCAAAUAUACAAGCAAAAUCAAAAGUGAUAGAGAUCAAGAGGAAAAUAAAAUAAUCAUAUAAGCUUAACCAAAGUCAUAGGGGUAACUUUCCAUGAAUAACUAAAAUAAUAUAAAAGACAGGAAAUAAUCAGAUAUAAUAAUAGCAGAACGUUCCAAAAACUCAAGGUAUAUGCCUGUGCUUCAAUUCAAAGGGUCAGAUUAGAAUGAAGAAAGAAAAAAGAAACAAAAUCCCAAACCAAAUUUUUUUUUGAAAUUUUAAAUCAAAGACAAAUGGAAUAAUUAAAAGCUCCCACAGAAAAUGAAUAUCUAAAAUAAUCCCAAGCAAAGAAAUGAAAGAUAAUGAAAAUGAAAUCAAGUUUCUCAACAAUGUCAUUUAAUGCAGGGAUUAUAUAUAAAAAGAAUACUUUAAAUAAAAAUUUAUUUUGAAUCAGGAAUCCAGCAUCAGUUGGGAGGUUCAAGAUGACUGCGUAGAAGCCGCUAGUGUGCACCAAUCUCAUGGAGAAGAAACAAAGUGGAGAGUAAAGAGCAGUGCUUCAAGAGAAUCAUCUAAGGGACUUUGUCAGAAUCCACCAUGGAAUGGGGGAACCCACAGAAAACAGAGAGAAGUUAGGCAGUCACUGACCUGAAACCAGCGUGGGGCCAGGAGAAACUCUCUAACAUGGGGAAAGGAUGAGUAAGUGAGAGUCCCCAAGAAAUCUGCACUUCCCACAUGCACCUUCACAAUCCUGGGUAUGAGCAAACCUCCCAACCCCCAUCCCCUAGGCCUCUAGACCAACACAAAGGGCCUCCUGGCAUUUUUUUUUUUUUUUUGAGACGUUAUCUCACUGGGUCACCCAGGCUGGAGUGCAACGGCGUGGUCUCCGCUCACUGCAACCUCCGCCUCCUGGGUUCAAGUGAUUCUCCCACCUCAGCCUCCCAAGUAGCUGAGACAACAGGUGUGUGUCACCACACCCGGCUAAUUCUUGUAUCUUUAGUAGAAAUGGGGUUUCACUGUGUUGGCCAGACUGGUCUCAAACUCCAGACUUUGUGAUCCGCCUCCUCGAGCUCCCAAAGUGCUGGGAUUACAGGCGUGAGUCACCACAUCUGGCCCCUCUGGCAUUUUUUGCAUAGGCACCACUCAAGCUUAUGUGGAGCCCACAGGACUUGGAUCCCCGAGCAGCCUGACACCAGCUUCCACAGCCCCAGUAGAGGCUGUAGUCAUGGUGCAGAGGAGUGGUCACAAUGCCCUGCUCUUCCUUGCUCAGACUUCCACUGCAGUGACUUUGCGCCCACCUAAAUUCUGCUGGUGGGCACAGCACAGCAUUCCCCUGGAGAAACUUACAGAUGACAAACUGUGAGACUUCUGUCCCACUUCUGAGUCAGGCAAGGCUAGGCUCAGGUUUCCAGCUCAGCAGUCCCACCCCUUUGUGAACAUUGCGGUGGGUGAUGACUCUGCAUUCCCGUGGGACAAAACUCCCAGACAUAACAGACAAUGCUUGGCACCUUCAAGUGAUCCCAACAGUGAAGUUCGUCAUCAUUUGGAUGGGAGAGAAGUGCAAGUGUGUCACAUGUCCCAUAGCUGCUAGUCUUCAUUAUGCAGCUGAGGAUUUCUGCCCUCUCCAGUGAAAGGCCCAUAGAACAACCACCUGGCUGAACAUUUAACAUGUAGAAUUUUCUUAAAUUCCCAAUACCUCAGAAUUCCACUUGCCCCUGCCUGAGACGUUGGUUGAUGACCCGGGGACUAGCUCACCUGCCCCCACAACACAGCCAGCUCCUGAACUUGGGGCUAGCCUGACCCCAAUCCAGCCCCUUUAUGACUCAUACAUGCUGUCCAGCAAGCCAUGUAGGAGCCUGGGAACUGGAGAACUACCUACCCCAUCCUAAGUCUGCUGGCACCUGACCACAUUUCUCAGGGCCUGAGGUUAGACCAACCCAAGCAGCUGACACCACCACAACCAACACCCAUUCACAUGGGUCCAAAGGUGGAUCCCCCUCCCUGCACUUCACAAAAAGCAACAGUACUGCCACAUUGGAGAACAGGUGAGAUUUAAACCUAUCUGUAUCGAGUUGAGUGAUGAGAUUAUGUUCUAAAAUCACUCCCACAGAGAGCUGCAAAAUAGGCAUUUCCUGUGGCUCUCAAUCACCUUAUGGGCCAGAGAUAGACUAUAAUGUGUGUCUGAACUGGGAGUUAUGAGCCUUGAAACAAAGGUGUGAUAGGGAAACAGAUUGUAUUGCUGCCUAUCUAGAAUAGGAAGCCAGUGCAGCCUCCUCACUCCUCCUGCAGAGACCUCAGCACAUUUCACCAGGAGCUCACCCCCAGUCACCCUUGUUAGGGCUGGUGCCUGCAUUCUCCAUUGGGAUAUUCAUGGGCAAACCAGGGGCUCCAGCUCCCUAACCACCACCCCCAUGGGACAGGAAGCUCAGGACACAGGGCAUCCCACUGUCCAACCCUUCACCUGAAAUAACAGAAGGUGCCUCAUAUAAAACAAAGAUCAGAUCAAUACCCAACUUCUCGUACGGCAGCUGGCUCUUAUCUGCAAAUAUCAUCUACUGGCCUGUAGGUCAAACUGCACAGCCCAAUACAAAACCUGCUGAUAGAAGUGCAUAGGACUACAAAAGCAAAGUUAAAAGACCCAACCCAACAGAACCCUCUCCAGAUGAGAAGGAAUUAGCAUAAGAAUUCUACCACCAUUAAAAAUCUGAACUUAUGACCACCAAAGGCUCACUCUAGCUCUGCAGCAAUGGUCCCUAGUCUAAAUGGAGGCAUAAGAUGUCAGAUGGAGAAUUCAAAGCAUGAAUUCCAGGAAAACUGAACAAUAUCCAAGAUAAGCUUGAAAAUAAACACAAAGAAACCUGUAAAACAAUUCAGGAAGUAAAGGAAGAGGUAAAGAUCUUAUAAAGAAAGCAUUCAGCGCUACCAGAACUGAAUAACUCGCUUAAGGAACUUCAAAAUGCAAUUGAAAGUUUUAUCAAUAGACUAAAUCAAGCAGAAUAAAGAAUUUUAGAAAUUGAAAAUUGUCUUUCAAACUAAACCAGUCAGAAAAAAAUAAAGAACUAAGAAUUUUAAAACUUGAACAAGGUAUCCAGGAAAUAUGGGAUUAUGUAAAGCAACCAAACCUAAGAAUUAUUGGCACUACAGGGAGAGAGCAAGAUAAAAAGUAAGCAAUCCAAAAAAUGUACUUGAGAGAAUAAUUUUUAAAAAUUUUCCUAACUUUGCUGGAGAGGUAGACACCCAGAUACAAGAAAUUCAGAUAACGCUUACUAGAUACUAUACAAAACAAACAUCACCAAAGCAUGUAGUCACUCAGCUGUCUAAGGUCAAAAUGAAAUUUUAAAAAAUCUUAAAAGCAGCUAGAGAAAAAGAUCAGACUGCAUAAAAAGGGAACCCCAUCAGGCUAACAGCAUACUUCUCAGCAGAAACCCUGCAAGCCAGAAGACCUUUUGGGGGACCUAUUUUCUGCAUCCUCAAAGAACUUCAACCAUGAAUUUCAUACCCUGCCAAACUAAGCUUCAUAAGUGAAGGAGAAAUAAAAUCUUUUUCAGACAGGCAAUCACUAAAGGAAUUCAUUACCACUAAACCAGUCUUACAAGAGAUCAUUAAAGGAGUUCUAAACAUGGAGAUGAAAGAACAAUGUCCACUACCACAAAAUCACAGCUAAGCGCAUAGCCCACAAACACUUUAAAGCAACUACACAAUAGGAAACACAAAAUAAACAGCUAACAAGUUUAUGACAGAAUCAAAAUCUUACAUAUCAAUAUUAACCUUUAAUGUAAAUGGUCUUAACACCCUACUUAAAAGGCACAAAGUGAAACAUUGGAUAAGAAAACUAGACCCAUCCAUCUGCUGUCUUCAAGAAACCAAGCUCACAUUUUUUUUUUCAUCUGCACAUGGUACAUACUCUAAGACUGACCACAUGCUUUGCUGUAAAACAAGUCUCAGAAAAUUCAAAAUAUAUUCAUACCUACUAUAUUUUGAAACCACAGUGGAAUAAAAAUACAAAUCAAUACCAGGAUCUCUUAAAACUAUAAUAACAUGGAAAUUACACAACUUGCUCAUUUGAGUAAACAACAAAAUUAAGGCAGAAAAUUUUUUAAUAACUUAGAAAUAAAUAAAAACAGAGGAACACCUACAGAAAUCUCUGGGACACAGCUAAUGCAGUGUUACGAGGAAAGUUUAUAGCACUGAAUGCCUAUUUCAAGAAGUUAGAAAUACCUAAAAUUAGCAAUCUAAUGGAGGAAUGGGAAACACAAGAACAAACCAAUCACAAAGCUAGCAGAGUAUAAGAAUCAACCAAAAUCAGAGCAGAACUGAAUGAGAUUGAGAUCCCAAAAUACAUAAAAAGCAUCAAUGAAGCCAAAAGCUUUUUGUUUAAAAGAAUCAACAAAAUUGAUAGAUCACUAAGUAGAUUAAGAAAAAAGACAGAAGAUCCAAAUAAGCACAAUUAGAAAUGACCAAGGUUACACUGCAACCAAUCCCACAGAAAUACAAAAGAUCCUCAGAGACUAUUAUAAACACUUCUAUGCACAAAAACUAGAAAACCUAGAGGAUAUGGAUACAUUCCUGGAAACACAUGAUCUCCCAAGACCGAGUCAGAAAGAAAUCGAAACCCUGGACAGGCCAAAAUCAAGUUCAGAAUUUCAAUCAGUAAUAAAAAAAUCUACUAACCAAAAAGAGUCCUGGACCAGAUGAAUUCACAGUCAAAUUCUACCGGAUGUACAAGAAGAGUUGGUACCUAUUCUUCUGAAACUAUUCCAAAAAGUAGAGGUGGAGGGCUUCCUCCCUAACUCAUUCUACAAAGGCACAAUCACUCUCAAUUCAAAAUCUGGCAAAGACAUAACAAAACAAAACAAAAAUGGAAACUACAGGCUAAUUCACAAAAUGCUAGCUAACCAAAUCCAGAAACACAUCAAAAAGUUAAUUCACCAUGAUCAAGUAGACCUUAUUCCUGGGAUGCAGGCCCAGUUAAACCACACAAAUCAAUAAAUGUGAUUCACCACCUAAACGGAAUUAAAAGCAAAAGCUAAAAGCUGUAUGAUUAUCUCAAUAGAUGCAGAAAAAGCUUUUCCUAAAAUCCAACAUCCCUUUGGCCGGGCGCGGUGGCUCAUGUCUGUAAUCCCAGCACUUUGGGAGGCCGAGGCGGGAGGAUCAUGAGGUCAGGAGAUCGAGACCAUCCUGGCGAACAUGGUGAAAUUCCAUCUCUACUAAAAAUACAAAAAAAAAAAAAUUAGCCAGGUGUGGUGGCAGGCGCCUGUAGUCCUAGCUACUAGGGAGGCUGAGGCAGGAGAAUGGCAUGAACCCGGGGGGUGGAGCUUGCAGUGAGCCAAGAUCGCGCCACUGCACUCCAGCCUGG